AUUGAACGCUGGCGGCAUGCCUUACACAUGCAAGUCGAACGGCAGCACGGGUGCUUGCCCCUGGUGGCGAGUGGCGAACGGGUGAGUAAUACAUCGGAACAUGUCCUGUAGUGGGGGAUAGCCCGGCGAAAGCCGGAUUAAUACCGCAUACGAUCUACGGAUGAAAGCGGGGGCCCUUCGGGCCUCGCGCUAUAGGGUUGGCCGAUGGCUGAUUAGCUUGUUGGUGGGGUAAAGGCCUACCAAGGCGACGAUCAGUAGCUGGUCUGAGAGGACGACCAGCCACACUGGGACUGAGACACGGCCCAGACUCCUACGGGAGGCAGCAGUGGGGAAUUUUGGACAAUGGGCGAAAGCCUGAUCCAGCAAUGCCGCGUGUGUGAAGAAGGCCUUCGGGUUGUAAAGCACUUUUGUCCGGAAAGAAAUCCUUGGCCCUAAUACGGUCGGGGGAUGACGGUACCGGAAGAAUAAGCACCGGCUAACUACGUG
rnacentral:rRNA from 1 species